rnacentral:lncRNA from 12 species
CAGGCUUCGUGCUAAACAUGUCUCCUUAAGUAAUCCCAGUGACACUAUGAGGUAGAUGCAGUUAUCACUGGGUCCAUUUUGGAGGUGAAGAAAUGAAGACUAAGUGGCUUACCUAGGGCCACUCACCAUAAUCUGCAUCUAUAAUUGCCUAGCUUCAGAGCAUAUGUUCAACACGCAACGUUGUGAAAUUGGAGCAAUAAAUGUCCUUAUUUAUUAAAAACAAACAUGUCUUGUAAGUACAAUUAUUUAAACUGAGUAAAGUUUGAUUCCAAUUCAAUGCUGCUGCAUCACUGCUCAUCACUGUUCCUGGGAAUCACAUCCAGCACAGAGUAGAGUUACUUAUUAACAAGAAUUAUGGAGUUAUUUCUUAUUUUCCCACUUCCUCCUCUUUUGUCUCCUCCUCACAGUCAUGUUGUCAUCCUUUUAAACCUUAUACAUUCUUGGCUUUAAGAAUUACUUAGUUCAAUACUCUUCUGGAGUUUCAAUUCUUUUAACAUUCCCACCUAGUGCUUGAUUACCUCCCAUGAGGGCAAAUUUCUCCCUACUCGUGCUGCCCAUUCCAUUUUCAGACUAUUCUGACAAUGAGGAAUUUAUCUUAUAUUAAAAGCUAAGAAUUUCUUUCUGUGACUGAGUUUCACCCACUAUUCCCAGUAUAACUGCAUGGCCUCACAGAAUAAGCCAAUCUUAAAAUGCAUUUGCUGAGUAGAUCAAGUAUAUUUCCUAUAGAAAAAGGUAUUUGCUAACAAAAUAUGGUAAAAAAAAAAAAAAAGUAAUGAUUGUGUACUGUUAGUAGGUGGGAAGAAGAAGCAGGUAAGAAGACAGGAAGAAGCAGAGGAGACAGUGGCAGAAGGGAGAAGAGCAAAGGAGAAAGAAUUUUAAAAAAUAUAUCUGGAAUUGGAGGUUGGAUUUGGUUAAAUCAUCCACAGAAUUACACGAAAACCAAACCGGGGGGCUUCAAAUAGGAGUUUUUUUCUCUACUCACAGAAGCAUAUCAGCAUCUUUGUUAUG